rnacentral:tRNA from 1 species
GGCUGCGUACUUUAUUAAAAACACUUAGCUUGCACCUAAGACUAGAGGUCACACUCCGCAACCA